UACGGAGGGGGCUAGCGUUGUUCGGAAUUACUGGGCGUAAAGCGCGCGUAGGCGGCUUUGUAAGUUAGAGGUGAAAGCCCGGAGCUCAACUCCGGAAUUGCCUUUAAGACUGCAUCGCUUGAAUCAUGGAGAGGUGAGUGGAAUUCCGAGUGUAGAGGUGAAAUUCGUAGAUAUUCGGAAGAACACCAGUGGCGAAGGCGACUCACUGGACAUGUAUUGACGCUGAGGUGCGAAAGCGUGGGGAGCAAACAGGG
rnacentral:rRNA from 1 species